CUGGAUGGAAUAUCUUGAACAGUUGAGAAAGAAUUUCAAUGAAUGAUGGGUGCUAUACGUCCUUUGGAUCUGAGAUUUUUGUUCAAAAAGGCCUUGAAUUCUAGUAAGCUGCCAUUCAGGGAAGCUACUUUUUCUUCUCCCCUCGAUUCGAUAAGUACACGUAUUCGGCAAAUAUUGGAAAAUGAUGAAUCAAUGUUGAAGCUGUUAGAAAAACAAAAAAUUAGCUUCUGUCUGCAAAAUUCUUCUCCAUUUCCUGUAGCUGUGUUAGGCACCAAGCUUUCCAAAAUUGUAAAUAAUCAACUAAGCAAUUCAGAUUUAUAACACUUCCUAUCUCCUCCUUCCAAGUGGUUUCUGAAUGUACCCAGAUUUCAACCUUUUAAUUAGUUUCUCUUUUGUUAUCCGCUUUUUCUCCAUCUUUUGCCUAUAUCUUUCUUCUCUUUCCCUUUCAUAAAUCCCUUGCCAGUGCACUUCACCAAUUAAUGGCCACAACCAUCUCUCCCUUGGAAGAUCACCAUCAUCUGCAGCCUCUGCAAGAUCUUCAUCCAUACUCUUUAACAAUGUAAGAUUAAAGUAGUUUGCCCAUAUAAUUUCUUUUCUUUGUUCGAUUGGGUGCUGCUCUUCUAAAGAACCGGAUCGUGGGUCUAUGUAAACCAUUUUUCGUGCACUAUGGUAAGCCCAAACAUUAACAAGGAGUUCCAAUAUCCGACAAUAACAGUGUUUUUCCUCAAGCUGUGAAGAACUCAACAAACAAGAGUUCACUUGGCUAGAAUUGGUUUGCAAGGCAUCAAGUGAAUCGACAAACAUCCUGCCAUUCAAAUAUUAGUCAACACAACAGCAAAUUCUGUUAGCUGAAUUAUAUAUCUUUCAUUACUUACCGAGCAAACAUAAUGAACUCUAGAAGGGAAGGGGUUGGCAUAACCCAACUAUGCAGGGCAGACCAGUGGCCUCCAUCUUCCGGCAUUGGAGGAAGAGCUUCAAGAUGGGAUGGUAAGGAGUACAUCUGGCGGAAAGCAGCUUCAAAAGCAGUUCUGCAGUGUCCUCCAUUUAAAAUGUCACACAUUGACCAAAAUGUAAGUUCGUCAUUGCUUCCUGGUACUCCACUAUCCACAUCCAACCGUGCCCAAAAGUACAUUACAUCUCCUCUAGUUUCUUUUUGUAUCUUUUCUUCCAAAGCCUUUUCAGCAUUAACGGAUAAUGAGACCUGCUUCGAGAAAAAGAAGACAAGUGAUAAUUGCAGUAAUAAACAAGAGGAGAUGCAAAUAAUUGCAAUUUUAAAAAUUCUAACAUCAAAUUGGAAAGAGUAAGGGUAAGGUUUUUUUAAAGUGUAGCAAUGGAAUACAAAGUAAGGCAAAGUAUACAUGCUUAUCUUGCUUGGAGGGAAGGAUGAUAAGUGGUACCCAUUUAAGUCGAAAAUUCUAAAAUCUAAACUCACCAAUUUCAUGGUUUCGAAAUUGGGGAAUGGUUGAGGUGGUGUUUGGAGGUUUCUAAACGAUAUUUACCAAACUUUCAAAAACCAUGCCUCUCCCAAACAAAGGAGGGAAGGUUACUAAACCUUAUAAAACCUUCUUACCUCAGGGAUGUGUAUUUAAUUAAUUUUUUGUAACAUAUUAAAAAUUCCCAAUUAGGAAUAUCAAUCCUGUUUCACCUGUAGAAAGCUCUUUGCAUAUUAAGGAUUUCAAUUUAUAUCAGGAGAAUCAUCCAACCUUGACUUUGUUUCAAUAAGACCACUAUAGAUUUUGUUAAAUUUCAAUUAAACAUUUGACCAGCUCCAUAAGUGACAAUAGAUUAUUCGAAUUCAAAUUUGGCUAAAUCUUCACAAAAGUUUUUGCCAUAAUAAUCAUAAAAAAGGAUGACCCCAUGCAUGAAGCAUCCCACACUAGUGGGCUAUGGGGAGGGUUCAUGUACACAGCCUUACUCCAGCUUUGCUGCUUUGCAAAGAAGCUGUUUUUGCGGCUCGAACCCGUGACCUCCAGGUCACAAUCAAAAUAACUUUACCAUUAUACCAAAGCCCCCAUCUCCAUUAGCCAUAGUGAUCAUAUUGAAAUAAAAUCAAAGUUGAGUAGUUGCUGAUACAAAUUGAAGCUCAUUGACUACUGAAAUUUAAUGGUAAGUUCAAUCAGAAUAGAUGAAACUAAAUAAGAAAAAAAUUAACAACAAAUUUCAAAAAGUUAACUGAAACUUCCACCAGAAUAAAAGAUACCUUCCUACCAGCAGCACGCCAUGAUUGAAACCCAAUCCAAGGUCUACUGUGAAUAUUAUCCACUUUGUUUGCAACAGAAAACAUUCCUCCAAUCUCACAGAGUGCAUUUUGAUAGUAAGUGUCAUUCAAGAUGGGAAGCCGGGCAGCAGCAUCCACAUCAUCUGAUCUUGAUCUCCGAGCUUUUGUAGAAAGACUUAACCCACGGUACAGAGAACCAUGGUGCAAAAAUGGCCAGGCCCCAGCUCCAUUAUAUAUCUCAUAAAUGCAUACUGGCUGACCUGUCCUUUCAAGCUCUCCCUCAUCUCUUUCAUUUGCUUCAAACUUGAGUUUCUCAGAUUUUCGGGCAUUGCGAUACAAGUCAUCCCAUACACCAGGGCUUCUAUCCAUUCUUUCUUCAAGCUCCUCGAUUUCUAGCCUCUCAUAUUCUUCAAAGCUAUCUACCUCCCUUAAAACAUCCCAAUCUGAUUCAGUUGGGAUAUCUGGGAAUGGAAUUUUGAUUCCAUUUGCAGAGAUAUUAGUCGAAACAAUAAGAUUCAUCAACCUUUUCUCAGGGGAAUAAACAAUGCUAGAUCCUCUGAAAGAAGAUUCUCUCCCAUCCAUGCCUAACAAGUCAUCAGUUUCCUGUACUAUUUCCUUCCCGAACAAGUUCCACUCCCAUACCUUCUGUUGAAGCUGGGAUGAAGGACCAGGCAACAAGGCAUCUGAUGGAAAACUGAGUAAAUUCUCCAAUAGCCUUGCAUAACCAGUCAUACAUUCUGAUGCAAGCAUGUUCCUAGCAAGCAGUCUUCCAGAGGCAGCAAUGUUUUGAGCAUACCUAGAAAGUUUCCCAUCUGAUAUCAAAAGAGAGAAAACCUUCAUCAAAGCUUCAGGGUUAUAUUUUUGGAAGAGUAACCCAUGAACUCCAUCAAUAACAUAUUUCUUCAUUAUAGGAAUAUCAGGAGCAAUGACAGGUACUCCAAACGUCAUGGCUCGAAUAAUUAAAGCAGGAAAACCUUGUUCAUCUUGGGAAGAGCCAUAAAGAACAAUGUCAGCCAUUAAUAGCACACUGUUGACAUCACCAUUCAAGCCGUAAUGCUUUACAGAACCAUGGAGUAGCCCCAGACGAGAUGCAACUUCCACAUAAGAAAAUGAAUUUAAAU
rnacentral:misc_RNA from 1 species